rnacentral:lncRNA from 11 species
UGUGGUGGUGGGAUAUUUGAUACUCUCAAGGACAGGAUUAGAAUCCAAAGCAACCUUGGCAAACUCAAGAGCUGGGCUAAAACUCACAACAUGAAUUUAAACAGAAAGAAAUGUAACGUACCAUAUUUGGGCAGAAACCAUGAAAUGCACAGACAACUCCAAAGGAUUGGAUUCUCUUCUCUCUUCAAGCAGAGGUCCGACUGAAAGCAGAAGUGUCAUGCCCUCUUGAAUCCAGAAGUAUUCUCAGCUAAGAAGAGGAUUUCCCCAUUUCAGGGAUGAAAGGACAUCUGGGAGCAGAAACCACGGUUGCUUCUCAUUAGCCCUGUUCGCUGGAAUUGAAGUCUUUUUCAAGCAAUUCUCUAGAAAAUGUCAUGGUGUUAACAAUGUAUUGUCUCAAUGUUCUGCUUUGUCCUUCCAUUCUUUUCAGACCAGCUUCAUAGA